rnacentral:rRNA from 1 species
AGAGGAGUAGAUGUAGGUACAGUAGGUAAAAUAUAGUGAGCUGAAUAAAUAUAGAACAUGGCGGUCAGUCGGCAAGAUAGAGGGAUAUGCACGUGAGUGAAGCAGCACAGACUUCUUACUGUCUUUAGAUAUAGGACCAUCUUGUACACCGCUAUCUGAAUAUACGGAGGUAGAUGAUCCGUUUUCUCUCAAGGUAAUAUCGUUGUUGGUUGUAAUAAAUGUGUAAGGUAUAAUAGCAUCUUUGAUGUACCAAUCUUUAUAACUAUAGACCUAUAAGUUAAGUUUAGGUGCAGACUAUAGGACAGUAGUAGUGUAUUCCUAUGUAAGUAAGUCAUUAUACUAUAUGUAUGCUCAAGUACUAAUGGAUAGAGACAUGGCUCCAGAGUAGUACAAAAGGUGCCUUUGGUAGAUAGAAUUUAUAAGUAAAGGAGUUAGAAUUCAAUCCCUGCUUGAAAGUAAUCGAGCCUGCAACGACAGACGU